GCCUGGAUAGGAAAAGGACAAAAAGAACGAGCGAUCAAGUGGCACAUGGCACAGACUGUCAUUUCUAGUAAACGUGCAUUUAUUAGAACCACAGGAGAUGGAAGCAAAAAGAAGAAAUCACUAUUUGGAGAAUUUAAGUCAGGGUUGGUGUUUGGGACAGUGCCUGAGAGUUAAAUAUAAACUGUAAAGACAAGCAUAGGAGAUAUCAUUUAUAAACAUUGAAGAAUAUCAGGGGGAGGUAAGAAAGAUGUAGACAACCUGGGUCCAAGCGGAACGAAUGCUAAAAUCUCUAGCCAAGUAUGGACCCGCACAAGUAAAUGCACUAAUGCUUAAAAGCAAAGCAUUAUAGCCAAAAAAAUAAAUGUUUGGAUGCCGGAGCCAGAAUACAUGGAUUCAACGCCUAGCACUGCCAUUUGCUAGAGGCGCGACCUGAGAUAAGUCACUGACGUUCUCUGUGCCUCAGUUUCCCCACUGGAGAAAAGAGACUAUCAAUAAUAAUGAAACCUCUAUCAUCAGGGUAUGAGGAUUGACCAAGUUGCUAUUUAUAAAGUUCUUAGAAUAGCACUCAGCACAAGUGAAGUGCUAUGUAAGUGUCUGUUAAAUAAUAUCCCUUCAUCCUUGGUCAAAUGCUUACAGAUAAACAUCCCAAGCAAUGCAAUCAGGACCGUCUAGAGCAGAGAGGAAUCGAUUGCCCAUUACUGUCCCAGGCUCUGCUCUGGGCCCUGGAAAUAGAGCAACUAGCAAAACAAAGUCCCUCCUCUGAUGGAGUUUGUCUUCUAGUGCAGGAUAAGAAACUUGUAUGCCAAAGUUCAAAGAUGACUACCUCAUGGAGAAAGUUUAAAUAACCUGAGAUGAUUUUACUUGAAGAUACUUCAGAAACUAGACAGCAGCAUUCUUUAAUUUCACCGGGAUGUCCUGCAGUCAGAAUUCCCAUAGUGGCUGAUUCAUGCACUCUGUCUUGCUCCCAAGUCUACAAUGCAUCUUUGAGAGACCCCGACCCAGAAAACAUCUCUAGCCAGGGCUCUUUGCUGUAGGAUACAAGCAAGCUCCAAAUAGACCAAUGACUAAACAGACCACCCGUAUUUGAAAUGACAAGGACCAUCUGAGUAAAAGUCAGAGGCAAACUGAAGCUGGCCAACAACUCCUUCCACCUUGGGCUCUAUCCCUUACAUGGGAAUAAAGGAUUCAUCUCCAGGAACGGCCGGAUGAAAGGCAACGGUGAAAAAGUCUAGAAGGAUGAACUGAGAAGUGGUGAGUUAAGAACAGAAACAGUGGAAAACAACACCGAUUCCUCAGGUGGUUCAGGGCACCACUACCUCAAGGGUUAGUUACCACCAGACUCUACGUUGCACGCAAGCCUUGUGAUUUAUAAUUGUCCCAGCAGAAAAUCCUGGACAAAUGCCAGAUAAUUUAUCUACUCAUGAACAAAUAUGGAGAAACACUUUGUUACAGUGACCCUAGUAUUAAAAAUGCUCUGAAAUAUCAUUCUGAAAGCUCGUUUGAGAGACACACAGAUCCAAAGGAAGUCGGCGUCACCUGUCAGACGAUCGUAAACUUAAAGGAUCAACAGGUGGAAUAAUUGCAAAUCGUAGUUCCUUUGCUCUAUUUAAAUUGUCGCCUGUUAAGUAGAAAGCUGGGACCGAUUUCUGAGCACUGGCCUCCUUUUUCUCGCGGCACCAGGAAGGGCACUCCAGAACAGACAGCGGGUACCUCAGGGACACACACAGAGACACGCGGCACUUGCCUUGGCUGAAGUGAGCUCGGAAGCCCCUGCUCUGUCUGGAAGGGCCAGACUGAAAUCGCAACAAGAGGCUGUUUCCUGAAGAAACGAUGGGGUUAGCCAGCGGCUGUCUUCCACACGUUCUGGCAAGGCGGGCAGUUGUGGGGCUUACGCCGUCAUAUGC